rnacentral:lncRNA from 1 species
GUUCUGGAGACUGAGACAUCCAAGGUUGGGGGGGCACAUCUGGGAAACUGGGAAACUGACACUUCCUGCCUCAUAUUGUUGCAGUUGCAAAGAUCAAAUACCAAGGUUAUGGGAAGAUGUUUUGAAGCCCCAAAUAAAUGUGUAAUUUAAUUUAUUCCAAUAAAGACUCAUUGCACAGGC